rnacentral:antisense_RNA from 1 species
AGUUAUGGCAGCUGUGCGUGGGACGCCUUAGGGCGUGCCGGUUCCUAGUUUCCGGUUUUCCAACCUGCGUACAGCUGCCACCCAU